ensembl:snoRNA small nucleolar RNA SNORA28
AAGGUACAGUCAGAUCAAGACCUUUAGAUGACACAAUUUGAGCUGGCGAUAGCAACAAAGUCUAACCUAUUCCAGUGCUCUCUCCUCUAUGAGACAAGCCAUUAUAUAGACUUAGACAGU